rnacentral:rRNA from 1 species
GACAGAGGUGCCAAGCGUUAGGCGGAAUCACUGGGCUUAAAGCGUGUGUAGGCGGAUGCCUAAGUACCUUGUGAAAUCCCACGGCUCAACCGUGGAACUGCUUGGUAUACUGGGUGUCUUGAGCCAUCUAGGGGCUACCGGAACAAAUGGUGGAGCGGUGAAAUGCGUAGAUAUGUGGAGGAACACCGAUGGCGAAGGCAGCCCCCUGGGUCAAGAUUGACGCUCAUGCACGAAAGCGUGGGGAGCAAACAGG